AACGAACGCUGGCGGCAGGCCUAACACAUGCAAGUCGAGCGGACCCUUCGGGGUUAGCGGCGGACGGGUGAGUAACGCGUGGGAAUAUGCCCUUCUCUACGGAAUAGUCCUGGGAAACUGGGGGUAAUACCGUAUACGCCCUUUGGGGGAAAGAUUUAUCGGGGAAGGAUUAGCCCGCGUUGGAUUAGGUAGUUGGUGGGGUAAUGGCCUACCAAGCCGACGAUCCAUAGCUGGUUUGAGAGGAUGAUCAGCCACACUGGGACUGAGACACGGCCCAGACUCCUACGGGAGGCAGCAGUGGGGAAUCUUAGACAAUGGGGGCAACCCUGAUCUAGCCAUGCCGCGUGAGUGAUGAAGGCCUUAGGGUUGUAAAGCUCUUUCAGCUGGGAAGAUAAUGACGGUACCAGCAGAAGAAGCCCCGGCUAACUCCGUGCCAGCCGCCGCGGUAAAAC
rnacentral:rRNA from 1 species